rnacentral:rRNA from 1 species
AUUGAACGCUGGCGGAAUGCUUUACACAUGCAAGUCGAACGGCAGCACGGGGGCAACCCUGGUGGCGAGUGGCGAACGGGUGAGUAAUACAUCGGAACGUGCCCAGUCGUGGGGGAUAACGUAGCGAAAGCUACGCUAAUACCGCAUACGAUCUCUGGAUGAAAGCGGGGGACCGCAAGGCCUCGCGCGAUUGGAGCGGCCGAUGGCAGAUUAGGUAGUUGGUGGGGUAAAGGCUCACCAAGCCGACGAUCUGUAGCUGGUCUGAGAGGACGACCAGCCACACUGGGACUGAGACACGGCCCAGACUCCUACGGGAGGCAGCAGUGGGGAAUUUUGGACAAUGGGCGCAAGCCUGAUCCAGCCAUUCCGCGUGCAGGAUGAAGGCCCUCGGGUUGUAAACUGCUUUUGUACGGAACGAAACGGUGCUCUCUAAUACAGGGCGCUAAUGACGGUACCGUAAGAAUAAGCACCGGCUAACUACGUGCCAGCCGCCGCAGUAACAC